rnacentral:rRNA from 1 species
GAUGAACGCUGGCGGCGUGCCUAAUACAUGCAAGUCGAGCGAACAGAUGAGGAGCUUGCUCCUCUGACGUUAGCGGCGGACGGGUGAGUAACACGUGGAUAACCUACCUAUAAGACUGGGAUAACUUCGGGAAACCGGAGCUAAUACCGGAUAAUAUAUUGAACCGCAUGGUUCAAUAGUGAAAGACGGUUUUGCUGUCACUUAUAGAUGGAUCCGCGCCGCAUUAGCUAGUUGGUAAGGUAACGGCUUACCAAGGCAACGAUGCGUAGCCGACCUGAGAGGGUGAUCGGCCACACUGGAACUGAGACACGGUCCAGACUCCUACGGGAGGCAGCAGUAGGAAAUCUUCCGCAAUGGGCGAAAGCCUGACGGAGCAACGCCGCGUGAGUGAUGAAGGUCUUCGGAUCGUAAAACUCUGUUAUUAGGGAAGAACAAAUGUGUAAGUAACUAUGCACGUCUUGACGGUACCUAAGCAGAAAGCCACGGCUAACUACGU